rnacentral:rRNA from 1 species
UACGUAGGGAGCAAGCGUUGUUCGGAUUUACUGGGCGUAAAGGGCGCGUAGGCGGCUAAUUAAGUCAGCUGUGAAAUCUCCGAGCUUAACUCGGAACUGUCAGCUGAUACUGAUCUGCUAGAGUGCGGAAGGGGCAAUCGGAAUUCUUGGUGUAGCGGUGAAAUGCGUAGAUAUCAAGAGGAACACCUGAGGUGAAGACGGGUUGCUGGGCCGACACUGACGCUGAGUGCGCGAAAGCCAGGGGAGCAAACGGG